UCCGGAUGUUGUGACAUAUAGCAUUAUGAUGGAUGGGCUUUGUAAAGGAGGGCACUUAGAAAAGGCAAGUAAUCUGUUAUCAUAUAUGGAACAAAAGGGUUGUGUUCCAGAGGUUAUAUUUAAUACGCCUGUGCAUGCUUUCCUAAAGCAUGAUGGGACUUCAAAAGUGGUUGAACUUCUUCGCAAAGUGGCAUAAAGAAAUAUGACUAUGUAUUCCAAAGUUUUGGAAUUCAAGAGUGGGAUAUUGGUUUUGAUAUUCAAGCUUUGCUUGCUAGUGCUCUCGCUGAUGAAAUAGGAACUGUACUUAAAAGAGGACAUGAAUUUAUGAGGCAUCUCAGGUGAAGGACAAUUGUUCUGGGGACUUCAGGGGAAUGCAUCGACAUAUCACUAAGGGAGCCUGGAUUUUCUGUGAUCAAGAUCAUGGAUGACAAGUUUCUGCUUGUACUGCUGAAGGUUUAAGUUUAACGGUGUUCCCUGCUUUUCUCAAUGAUGCCACAAGAAAUUGUUCUCGA